rnacentral:rRNA from 1 species
GAUGAACGCUGGCGGCGUGCCUAAUACAUGCAAGUCGAGCGAACAGACGAGAGUGCUUGCACUCUCUGACGUUAGCGGCGGACGGGUGAGUAACACGUGGGUAACCUACCUAUAAGACUGGGAUAACUUCGGGAAACCGGAGCUAAUACCGGAUAAUAUUUAGCUUCGCAUGAAGCAAUAGUGAAAGACGGUUCUGCUGUCACUUAUAGAUGGACCCGCGGUGUAUUAGCUAGUUGGUGAGGUGACGGCUCACCAAGGCAACGAUACAUAGCCGACCUGAGAGGGUGAUCGGCCACACUGGGACUGAGACACGGCCCAGACUCCUACGGGAGGCAGCAGUAGGGAAUCUUCCGCAAUGGACGAAAGUCUGACGGAGCAAUGCCGCGUGAGUGAAGAAGGUUUUCGGAUCGUAAAACUCUGUUGUAAGGGAAGAACAAGUACGUUAGUAACUGAACGUACCUUGACGGUACCUUACCAGAAAGCCACGGCUAACUACGUG